ensembl:lncRNA
UUAGAAGCCAAAGAUCCCACAGCGUGUCCUCUCCUACUAUGCACGGAUUCCCCUUGUGCUGACCCUAAUUCUCAGCCGGAGCUCACUCCCGUCUCUCUGUUAGAACCUUCUCACCUUGGUCAGUGCGGUCCCUGAGAUAUGUCAUGUGGGCAAACUACAGCAGCAGCCUGACUCCUCCUGUCUCUCCUUUCCCAGGGAGGCUGUGCCCAGGAAGAUGAAAAUGGCCUCAGCCCCUCAUUUACAAAGUGCUACAGGAUUCCUACUGCCCCGACUGGGCAUUGUGAAAAUAGAAACCCAAAAUAUUGUGCAAUGAGAAAAUACAAGCAUGAAGCUGAAGCAGGAAGUUAAAGACAAUGAAAAUACCAGCUCUAGCCCCAUCCCUGGGAAAACAAGCAACAAGCAUAUCAACCACCACUGAAAAGCUUUAGAGUAUACCCAAGAGAAAUGUUUGCUUAUGGGCAAAGCCCAGACUCAUCAGAACCAUACAUCAGGCCUUUUGUGAUUUGGCCCCACCUGCUCAUUUCUCAUGAUUAAGCCCUCCCUCCUCACUCCUUCCUUCCCAAGUAUCUGGUGCAACAACCAAACCAAACCAUUAUCCUAAAAACCCGAUGUGUGCUUUCAAGCUUCCAUGAAGUUGUGACUUCUCUUCCAAAGGCUCCUUCUCCCUAUUUCUAUCUGGUGAACACCUCUCACUCUUCAAAUGACAUCUUCACCCUGCAUCUUUUCAUAAACACCAUCGCCUUGACCCUCAAAUAUUUCAAUGAAAAGACUUCCAAGGCAACAAGGAAUGUGAUUCAGUGUCCUAAGGAGUUGGAUGUCCUGGCUGGAGGGACAUUAGACAUCUCAUGGUUGAAUUUUCCUAUUGUUCAGAAAUCCUGUCAAUAAAGACCCUUGGCACUAAACAGAAGGUGGAAAAUUAAAGAAGCGCUGUAUUUUCACAACACCUGGCCUAGAUUUAUGGCACUGAGCAUGCCCCCUCCCUUCCUGGAUCUUCGUGUCCUGUUCUGCAAGAUGGCAGCCUGGGACUCCCUGAAGUCUCCUUUGAGACCCCUCACCUCUGGCAUCUUGGGAAUCAAACAUUUUACACCAAGAAUUUAGCACCCUUUACUUUCUCCCCGAUUUCCUUUCCUCCCCAUACAUGGGCUUUAGUAAUAGAAUCAUAGGUUUGGUUACCAGGUUAGAAGUAUGAUUAGUUUUUGCCUUAUAUGUGUUAUUUUUAGAUAACUUUUUCCUUUUACAGUUGCUUUGUCUUAUAGCCAUAUUUAUAACCUUUCAACUGAGCUCUAUGUUUGCUACAUUUCAGUGGUUCGCACUGGUCCUUUUAUAGACCUCGAUGUCUUCAUUCUUGGGUUCUUAUUUUUCUGUUGGUCUGUCUGUAUCUUCAAAAAAUAUUUUGAAAAGUACAUAUUGGGAUGCCUGGGUGGCUCAGGGGUUGAGCGUCUGCCUUUUGCUCAGGGCGUGAUCCCGGGGUCCUGGGGUUGAGUCCCACAUCGGGCUCCCUGCAUGGAGCCUGCUUCUCCCUCUGCAUAUGUCUCUGCCUCUCUCUGUGUGUGUCUCUUAUGAAUAAAUAAAUAAAAUCUUUUUAAAAAGUA